UACGUAGGGUGCAAGCGUUGUCCGGAAUUACUGGGCGUAAAGCGUGCGUAGGCGGUUUGUUAAGACAGGUGUGAAAUCCCCGGGCUUAACCUGGGAACUGCGCUUGUUACUGGCAGACUGGAGUGUGGCAGAGGGGGGUGGAAUUCCAGGUGUAGCAGUGAAAUGCGUAGAUAUCUGGAGGAACACCGAUGGCGAAGGCAGCCCCCUGGGCUAACACUGACGCUGAUGCACGAAAGCGUGGGGAGCAAACAGG
rnacentral:rRNA from 1 species